AGCGGCAGACGGGAGAGUAACACGUGGGAACGUGCCCUUCAGUUCGGAACAACCCAGGGAAACUUGGGCUAAUACCGGAUACGUCCGUAAGGAGAAAGAUUUAUCGCUGAAGGAUCGGCCCGCGUCUGAUUAGCUAGUUGGUGGGGUAACGGCCCACCAAGGCGACGAUCAGUAGCUGGUCUGAGAGGAUGAUCAGCCUCACUGGGACUGAGACACGGCCCAGACUCCUACGGGAGGCAGCAGUGGGGAAUUGUUCGCAAUGGGCGCAAGCCUGACGACGCAACGCCGCGUGGAGGAUGAAGAUCUUCGGGUCGUAAACUCCUUUCGAUCG
rnacentral:rRNA from 1 species